rnacentral:rRNA from 1 species
UCUGAAUCUGCGAACGGCUCCGCAAACCAGUUGUAAACUAUAGCAAGCAAUCCUGCGGGCGGCUUCGGCUGCUCGUGGGUAACAUGGAUAACCCUGGUAAUUCUGAGGCUAAUACAAGAACGUACUCCCUGGCUGACCGGCAACGGAAGGCUGGGGAGCGUGCAACGUAUCGUAGGGAUAAACCGGGAAUGGGUGCACGCUUGGACCGCGCUAAAGACAGAUCUCGGCGAGCCUUCGGGUGAGCCUUGGCCUGAGCGGCUCUUGCUGUGUGCUUCUGACCUAUCAACUAGACGGCAGCGUAAGGGACAUGCUAUGGU